CCAUUUCCGCAUUGCUGCUCCAGUCCCCACAAGAGAACGCUGAAUUGCUAAACUUGGAACAGAGAGUGCUUUUCCCAGAAAUCCUCUGACUCACCCUUAAAGUAGCAGUGCCACCCUAAAAGCAGGAGUUGGCUGCCAGUUUGCUAGAAUUUUUGGCUGGCCUUGAGCCUGGCUUAAUUGCUCCAGUCCUUCUCUCCCUUGACACAACAGAUCAUGCCUCCUGGCAUCUUACAGUUUUCAUGCCUACUGGAUUCAACAUCUGGGGUCAAAACUUGAUCAUCUGGGGAUUCCUGAUUGCUGGGAGUAUGGAAAAUUGAACAUAUACACCUUGGAUAAAUCCAAGGUUAAGGAUAAAAGGUAAGAAUGCAGCAGUCUCUCAUUUCACCUCCAUCUGAGCAACAAUGUGGAGAAUUGUUCCUCUCUAGCUUGGUAUUUGUAUGUUGGGGGUUGGGGGGAACCAAAAGGAAUGAAGAACAGAAUCAGAAACGAGGGUAAGAACGGGUCGCUCCAAACCCUGGGAGCAGUCACAUCAGGCUGCCAGCUGCAACAAGAAUCUCUCUAAUAAGGAAAUUAGAGCAUGAUCAUUUCUGGCUAUGUGACUCUGAUUCUAAAUAGGUUUUACAAAUAGAUUGUGAUUGAACUUGGAAACAUAAACAAAUUGGCUUUGUGGAAUAAAGGCUGAACUACAUUUUAUUUAGAGAAUUAAAAUGCUUUCAUGGGAGGCUCUCUGGGAGAACGGACAGCUAUUUUAACGAGAGCAUAUGCAUUUGUGAAACACACCGGCUUUGUUGGUUUCUCUUUGGAGAGUCAGGUCUGAUAAAGUCAAAAGAAAGUUUCCCAAUAGGGUCCCUAAGAGGACAACUGAUAAAGGCAGGGAAUGGGCAGUAUGUAUUUGAAAUUCCCCAUUCAGAUGCGGGGAGGAGAG